rnacentral:lncRNA from 1 species
CAUACUCAAUGUACGGAUACGACGGUUUAGUCGGUGUGUCGACAAGUCACGAGUCAACAACGAGUCAAGACAAGACGGAACACUAAGAAGAUGGCAUGUCAAGAUUAGGAAGAGAUCGUUAGGUAUAAUCUUGAGUUUGUAGUCACUAGUGCAUGUACAGGUUGUGCUAGGACGUGUAGUCCAUGGUCUUGGGCUAAGUACGUGUCUAGUUUAGAUAGUUCUAGGAGUCCUGAGUCAUGUACGGGUACUAGUCCUUGCAGGAACAGGUUAGUAGGUGUCCGAGGUUAGUUUGGCUAGUUAGAGUCCGAGUAGGACUUGUGUCAUGUUGGUCAAGGCUGCGUGCAUAUAUAUAGACGUGAAGGUAUGUGGAUUUUGGAGUACCGUGACUUGAG